GCUAGAGUGGCAGAAAUAGUGCAAUAGAGUUAAGUUCUAUAAAUAAAAUAUAAUUUUCUUUAGCU
rnacentral:tRNA from 1 species